GGCGGGCAGCAACCUGACGAAGCCGGACCCGGGGUGCUGCCCGGAGCUGGAUAACUUGGUGAACACACAGCCAGUAUGCUUGUGUGAGCUGCUUGGGCAGCCCGGUCAGGUUGGGAUCUCCAUUGAUUUGAAUAGGGCUCUUAAGCUGCCCGCAGCCUGCAAUGUCGCCACUCCUCCAGUUAGCUUGUGUGCAGCUAUUGGUAUUCCAGUUGGAGUUCCUGCACCAAGUGAAGCCCCAUCAGAUGGCAUAUCAGCAGCAGCAAGCCCAUCUCCUGCGACUGGGAGUGGGGACAAUCCAAGUUCAAGCAACUUAGGCUUGAAGCCCCAUUUUCUCAUUGGAUUAGCAGCUCUUUGCUUCACGUAUGUCUUCUAAGCAGACCAACCAUUUCUUCAGUUCAUACUCAUUGAUUUUAUCUUGAUUUCAUCAUUCUUAAUUAUAUGUUGUAGCUAGAUGUUCUAUGUCUCUCUCUCUCUCUCCCCAGCUAUUUUGGACACUAUCUUGACCUUCAUUUAUGUAUUUCAAUUUGUACUUUUAUUAUGAUUCUCUUCUGAAGAAUUCAUGAAAAUAAUCGCCUUAUUUUC